UUGUUAAGAGGCGCGGUGUCGGCGUGCUUGUAUUUGCGGGAGGGAAUUAUCUGGGGGUGCUGGGUAGCCGGGAAGACUUGGACGGAUCUGGCCCGGGAAUGGGUCUGGGCCUGGAUUCUGGUGUGGUGUAGGGUAGGCGUAGAUAGAUGAGUGGUCUAGGGUAGAUACAGGGUAGCCAGAAGUCUAGUAUAUAGUAUGGGGGUUGUAGGGUAGGUCUGGACACCGUUUUCCACUUCGCCCUUCCCUUUACUCGAGGGAGGACGAUCUUGGCUGGGACGGCGGUGUAGGGUAGGCUUAAUUAACGAUUACAUGAUCUGUGUCACUCUAGGGUAGGUGAAAAUCCCAUAUAUAUCUGAUCACAUUUGGUGAAGAGGUGGUUUGGCUGGUGAGAUGGACAAAAGUGCAAUGUAGAAUGAUAUGUGAUUUUGCAAAAGUGGGUGUGAAAUUGGAAAGUCGGUUUUCCCGCACAGAUGAGAGCACGUUUGAGGUGCCAUGAGAUGCACCUCUCCGAGACGACCUCAACGGUGCCACCCAUGUGUUGGUCGGGCUCCUGUGCCGCCGUCCAGGGCGGGAUAAGUAGAGAAUGAGGUGGUGUAGGGUAGGUGGCCAGGUCCAGGGUAGGUUCGCCAAAUCCGUCAAUCCGGCUUGAAUGGAAGGACAGGUCUAGGGUAGGCCAGAGUCGGGUCUAGGGUAGGCAACUCUCACCCUCGA
rnacentral:misc_RNA from 1 species